UGGGGAAUAUUGCACAAUGGGCGAAAGCCUGAUACAGCAACGCCGCGUGAGUGAUGAAGGUCUUCGGAUUGUAAAGCUCUGUCUUUUGGGACGAUAAUGACGGUACCAAAGGAGGAAGCCACGGCUAACUACGUGCCAGCAGCCGCGGUAAUACGUAGGUGGCGAGCGUUGUCCGGAUUUACUGGGCGUAAAGGGUGCGUAGGCGGAUGUUUAAGUGAGAUGUGAAAUACCCGGGCUUAACUUGGGUGCUGCAUUUCAAACUGGAUAUCUAGAGUGCAGGAGAGGAGAAUGGAAUUCCUAGUGUAGCGGUGAAAUGCGUAGAGAUUAGGAAGAACACCAGUGGCGAAGGCGAUUCUCUGGACUGUAACUGACGCUGAGGCACGAAAGCGUGGGUAGCAAACAGGAUUAGAUACCCUGGUAGUCCACGCCGUAAACGAUGAGUACUAGGUGUAGGAGGUAUCGACCCCUUCUGUGCCGCAGUAACACAUUAAGUACUCCGCCUGGGAAGUACGAUCGCAAGAUUAAAAC
rnacentral:rRNA from 1 species